UACGUAGGGGCCGAGCGUUGUCCGGAGUUAUUGGGCGUAAAGCGCGCGCAGGCGGCCUCGCGCGCCCGACGUGAAAGCCCCCGGCUUAACCGGGGAGGGUCGUUGGGGACGGCGGGGCUUGAGGGCGGGAGAGGGCGGUGGAAUUCCAGGUGUAGCGGUGAAAUGCGUAGAUAUCUGGAGGAACACCGGUGGCGAAGGCGGCAUCCUGGACCAUUACUGACACUGAAAAGCGAAAGCCAGGGGAGCAAACGGG
rnacentral:rRNA from 1 species